GGGGCAUUAGCUCAGCUGGGAGAGCGCUUGAAUGGCAUUCAAGAGGUCAGCGGUUCGAUCCCGCUAUGCUCCACCA
rnacentral:tRNA from 2 species